rnacentral:rRNA from 1 species
UACGUAGGGUGCAAGCGUUAAUCGGAAUUACUGGGCGUAAAGCGUGCGCAGGCGGUGAUGUAAGACAGAUGUGAAAUCCCCGGGCUCAACCUGGGAACUGCAUUUGUGACUGCAUCGCUGGAGUGCGGCAGAGGGGGACGGAAUUCCGCGUGUAGCAGUGAAAUGCGUAGAUAUGCGGAGGAACACCGAUGGCGAAGGCAAUCCCCUGGGCCUGCACUGACGCUCAUGCACGAAAGCGUGGGGAGCGAACAGG